ensembl:lncRNA
CUCUAAUGGCAAUUAAGCCGGAAAGCCUUCUGUUUGUCUCCAUGUUAACUUCACAGAAAUGUUUCCAUGACAACCUUCAUGCACGUUAAGGCAACCAGAGGUGAUUGAGUCUUUUUUUUUUUUUUCUCCUUUUCCUUUCCUGUUGCAAGAGUGGAAUUUGUGUUGACAGUUCUGGCCUUUAAUGGCACUUUGGUGCCGCAUGAAAGUAUUUGUUUACCGGGAUCAUAUGCUGCUAGCUGUCAGCCUCGCAGAGAUUGACUUCUCCAGAUAAAAGACUGUAUUACAUGCUUAAGAGGUCUUAUGUGCUGUAAUUAGCCACAUCAUCCCAGUGACGUUUGGUGUGCUUCAGUAACUAAGAUACUGAGUGCUUCCUCUGAGGUCACCUAUUAGAAAUAACAAAUGCUUUUUUGUUGUUUUAAAGCUUUUUCUAUUCUAGUGGGUGUCAGUGGAUGUGGAUUUUAUGCUUAUUUUAUGGAUUUAAAUGUUCAGUGCAUUGACUAAUGGAAUGUUACUUCUCAAUCUGAGGUUGCAACGCCCCAGACCUUUCAUUUGAUUAUUUUUUUUUUUUUUAAUUUGAUUUUUUUCUUAAACAUGCCAUAUAAUCCCCAACUCUAGUCUUUUGACUGUGACGGUGCUCUUUCACACGAAAAAUAUCACAUGACCUUUAUGGAGAGGUAUUCAAAUCACCCAAAAGCAUCUUAUCUUAGUACAAAUGCCCUUGAAGUUAUUAAUUGUAUGCUUAGCUGAUUUUAUCAAUUCUGAUAUGUUUUGUCAUACUUUUUUUUUUUUUUGGCAUGACAGGGUUGACUGAUUCACUGGUUUAUUGAGUGUUUUAGUCUCUGGUUGACUUAAAUCCCCAGUCGUUGUGGAUGAAGGGGGGCGUCAUUUGUAGUAAACGGCAAGGUCAGCCCAGCUGGACCAAACUUGCCUGUGGCCUGUGACGAGAGGAAGUGUGGAAAUCGACUCGAUGCUAAUUCUCUCAUACUUGGACUCAGUUCUCCCAAACAAACGGACAUCAACUGAAAGUUUCCCCUCAGGGAUGAGAACUGGUAUGGCUGUUGCUCAUAGUGCAGCAGGAGUACUCUGAAACAAAGGCGAAAGCGGUGAGUAAAAGCAAUCUUUAAAGUGCUAAUUUGCAUGUUCGUUCUGUCUGUCUCGGCCAUAAUUGAUAUGUCCUCUCAAAAAUCACUUCCAUUAUAUAUUCCAUCAACCACAUCCUGAGAGGAGCGUUAAUAAUGAGGAGUCCGGGGACCUCUUAAAGAUUCUUCAUGCAUUAUGACAGUCGAGAGAGUCCACUUAGUUUCUGACGGCCUUGACGUUUGUGGGGUUUCACCUUAAAGGCAGUUGAAGUCAAGAUAAAUGUAUUGUGGUGCAUAACCCAGCAGGUAAAGGUUUAAAGCAUGUUAUCCAGCUCCAUCCGGCCCUCCGUUGUGGCCCUGAUGAUUGUUUUGUCACCAAGUAAGUAAAAGAUACGCAUAAGGAAUGGAGGUUGUGGUUACCGUCAUUAGCGAUGUAGACAUUGCCAGACGGGUGGCUACAGUUGCGAAGGGUAAAUGAGAGAAACCUGCACCUAUUCAAGGCAGUUCAUGCAGAGGGCAUAUUUGAUCAUUUGAGUAAGAGAGUUGUUGACUUUUUAAGGGUCCUGGUAUUAGUUACUGUAGGUACUCAGUUGUUAUUAUAAUGUUUGUUCUGAAGGGAUAAAAAAAUUGAAUCAAAAAUGAAAAAGUGUGGAACACGAUAGGAAAAAUGUUGAAGAAUGUACUGGCCAAUCUUCAACAUAUAAUGAAUUGGGGGGGAAGCACUAUAAAAAUAUUAUAAACGUAGUGCCAUGAAAAUUACUCAGUAACUUUUUGCAACAAACAGAUCAACAUUACAUUACAACAGUCAUUAUCUAUUAAAAUAUGGUGCAUUUAGAUGCAACAUGUAAAGUUUGAUCACAAAGAAGUUUGUUUAAAUAUGUAGAAGUGCGAAUGAAAUACAUUUCUUGAAUGGUCC